ACUGUUUACCAAAAACAUAGCCCUCGGCUAAUAUGAAAAUAGAUGUAUAGAGGGUGAUGCCUGCCCAAUGGUUGUAUCUAAAAGCGGUUGAUAAAAGUCGACCUUGUAAGGACAAUUGAAUGGCCGCGGUAACACUGACCGUGAUAAUGUAGCGUAAUCAAUAGCCAAUUAAUUGUUGGCCAGUAUGAAUGGCGCCACGAAGGCCCCACUGUCUUAAGGAAAUUCCCAGUGAAAUUGAAUUCGUAGUGAAGAUGCUACGUCCAAUUUGUUAGACGAAAAGACCCCGUUGAGCUUUACUGGAGCACUUAUAUGGCCCCGGCCUUCCCAUGCCUGGGAACCGGCCGAAUUUAAAUGGGCGGCUUAGAUUAUGUGGCAGCCCCCCGCUGGGGCAAAUGAAACACCACUCCCCCAUGUCAAAGGGGCUAACCCCCCCCCUUGGGGGGGAC
rnacentral:rRNA from 1 species